CUUUUUUUUUCUAUUUCUUUCUUAUUUCUUAGCCAAAUUUCAUAAAAUUUGUCCCAAAAUGGCUAGCUCUUCCUCGAGAUUUGUUGGACACACCCUACUUGCACUAGAUUGAGACUUUUCACCACUAAUUUCGCGAUAAAAAGAAGUUGGGCUCGUGAAUAAGGAGGAAAUCCACGUUCUGGCCAAAUUAAGCACGCAUUGAGUGUGUUUCAAUCGUCCAUGAGGUAUUUUUCUUUCGCUAAACACUCUUUCCUGUCUUUCUUUUCGAGCUGCCGAGUUCUGUCCAGGCUUGGAUUGGUGACACCCAAUUUUACCAGUUUGUUUAUACUUUUCCUUCUAUUGCUUGGAGGAUCGAUCAUACCUCAUUCUAUACGCUGGUCAACGGGUGGAUGAACACCAAGCAUACCUUUCACAUCCGAGUUAGAGAGUUGAUAAUGUCUCUGCUAUCUUUUACUACCAUCACCAACAUCAACUUCAUUAGCACGCCUGUACCUUUUGAUGAUGCUAUCUAUAACCUAUAGUCUGAUGCUCAGAACCAGUUCGUCAUUGAUUUUCUAGGGUUGCCUAUGCGCAAGAACAUAUGAUGCCUAGCUUAUAAGAGCAUUUCCCUCCAUUAUAGGGGAUUCACACCUCGGUCUACACGAAAGGUGGAUCAGAUAGCUUGGACAUUCCUUGUGUACCUUUUUGAAACUACCUUGUUUAGUGAUUCAAGGAACUCACUAAACCUCCACCACUUGGCUCCCUUGAGGGACUUGGACCAUGUCUCCUCCUUCAACUGAGGGUCUAUAGCUCUCGCAUAUAUGUAUGAGUUGAUGGACAUCACAGUCCGUGAGAGCAAGAGGCUCUAUGAUUUCUAGCAUGAUGUACAUGUAAGUUCUGGUUUAUAUUUUUUAUUCCUUGCUCUCUUAUGUUUGUAUGCAAGCUAUUAAAUCUUUGGAUGCAGGUAUGGGCCUUGGAGAUCGGCCUUCUAGUAAGCUCUUAGCCUAUUAGCAUGUCUUGAGCCUUUCCUCACUUGUGCUGCUAAGGUUGAGCGUAGAAGCAUCCCCCUAGAGUGGGCGUAGGUCCACGUGCACCGUAUGUGGAUCAACUCCAUAUCAUAGGAAAAGAUUCAUGAUGACUAUCUUGGGGAGUGCCACCACUGAGAUCCUUAUUUGUUAUCCAUUGUCGGUCUCGAGCAUAAGAGGGUUCUCUUGGCCGACCUCUCUUUUCGAGUGUGGUAUUUGUUAGAGAGGAUCUAUGGCUGGGAGAGUGAGCCUAACAGAAAAAUGAGUGCAUUUGUCUCAUCGUCUAUCUAUGUUCUAAACUGUUGAUGUUGCCGAUGAGAAGCUGACGAUCAGCUUAGAAGGGUACAACGGCUCGAGGAUUUUAUGAUCCAAUCUCGAAGGACAAACUACAUCUCCUUUACAUCCUAGCUGCUAUAGCAUGUAUCCCUAGACCGCGAGACUAUCGCCAAGUUCUUACGCCCUGCACGUCUAAAACAAGGGAAGGACACUUCCAAGCUCUUGAUAAGUUCUUAGGACGACUGGAACGAUAUAAAUUGAGGCUUAAUAUGAAGAAGAGUGUUUUUAGAGUAACAUCAGGGAAGCUGCUAGGGCACAUAGUGAGUCAGCUGGGAAUGGAGAUUGAUCCAAACAAGGUAAAGGCUAUUCAAGAGAUGCCAGCGUUGAAGACAAAAACAGAAAUCAGAGGAUUUCUAGGAUGCCUACAAUACAUCAACAGGUUCAUUUUCAAGCUUACGAUGGUUUAUGAUCCCAUAUUCAAGCUUUUAAGGAAACACCAACCCGUUGUGUGGGAUGAGCAUUGUCAGAAAGCCUUCGAUAAAAUUAAAGAGUAUGUAAUGAAGCCGCCAGUACUAAAGCCACUGAAAGAUGAAAAGUAUUUGAUUUUGUACUUAGCCUUGGAUGAGGAAGUGAUAAGUGCUAUCUGUGUUA